rnacentral:rRNA from 1 species
CUACGGGGCGCUCCAGUGAGGAAUAUUGCACAAUGGGGGGAACCCUGAUGCAGCAACGCCGCGUGGAGGAUGACGCAUUUCGGUGUGUAAACUCCUUUUAUAUGUCAAGAAAAUGACGGUAGCAUAUGAAUAAGCACCGGCUAACUCCGUGCCAGCAGCCGCGGUAAUAAGGAGGGUGCAAGCGUUACUCGGAAUCACUGGGCGUAAAGGACGCGUAGGCGGGUUGGAAAGUCAGGUGUGAAAUCCUACAGCUUAACUGUAGAACUGCACUUGAAACUUCUAAUCUAGAGUAUGGGAGGGGGAGAUGAAAUUAGUGGUGUAGGGGUAAAAUCCGUAGAUAUCACCAGGAAUACCUAAAGCGAAGGCGAUCUCCUGGAACAUUACUGACGCUAAGGCGUGAAAGCGUGGGAAGCAAACAGGAUUAGAUACCCGAGUAGUC